AUGAGACAAGUGCACUUUGCCGGUUUCCCCUCCCUUUUGGCACUUGAAGUAAUUGCUGUCGAUCUGCUCCAGCAGCACAAGAACAUCCCCAUGCUUUAAGACAAUGGCUCUCUUUGCCAUGCAGCUAAUGGGGUGAUCAUGUCAUCCAUGGUGAUUCUCUGACCAAAAAGGAUUGCAAAUACAGCUAAAAUGGAAAAAUACUUGUAAUGCAUUAUAGUCUAGGGUGAUAUUAAAGAACAACACGUUUUUACUUUUGACACAGACCAGAAUGGAGUAUCAGGUCAUCAGAGCUGGAACAAGCUCAUUUGUCCUCCAGUUAGUCUGGGAAGGAGGAGGGAAUCCUAAUCCUUGUGGAGUGACAUUUCCACCUGGAAACCAGGAGGAUGGUCUGAGAGGCUCAGCAGCAACUAUUGUAAUCUCAGGACGUCUGCAAAGAAACAUAAACAAGAGUUUAAAAAUUCACAAAGAUUACAAGUAAUUUGGAGUGAAGACCAAAUCUGAGGAAAUCAUGAGGAAAAGAAGCUGAAGUUUUCAACCAAUUAAUUUGUUCUAAUUUAUGGACAUGGAUCAAAUUACUGCUGUUUUCUCUGUUUUUGUGUAUGCCGUUGUUCACAUGUGAUUCUAGGCUCACUUAUGCUGCGCCUCCUAA